rnacentral:rRNA from 1 species
GUUUGGUCCUGGCCUUUCCAUUAGUUCUAGGUAAAACUACACAUGCAAGUAUCCGCGCCCCAGUGAGAAUGCCCUCUAAGUCAUACUUGACCAAAAGGAGCGGGUAUCAAGCACACUACCAAGUAGCUCAUAACGCCUUGCUUAGCCACACCCCCACGGGAUACAGCAGUGAUAAAAAUUAAGCCAUGAACGAAAGUUUGACUAAGCUAUACCUACAUUCCUAGGGUUGGUAAAUUUCGUGCCAGCCACCGCGGUCAUACGAUUAACCCAAAUUAAUGGAACCACGGCGUAAAGCGUGUUUAAGAGAAUAAUAAAAUAAAGUUAAAUUCUGACUAAGCUGUAAAAAGCCCUAGUCAAAAUAAAAAUAAGCCACGAAAGUAACUUUUCAGACCUCUGAAUACACGACAGCUAAGACCCAAACUGGGAUUAGAUACCCCACUAUGCUUUGCCUUAUAACCCAGGUAACUCGCACGACAAUAUUAUUCCCAGAGUACUACUAGCCAUAGCCUAAAACUCAAAGGACUUGGCGGUGCUUUUAUAUCCCUCUAGAGGAGCCUGGCCUAUUAUCGAUGAACCCCGAUAGACCUCACCAACUCGUGCUAUUCAGCCUAUAUACCGCCUCCUCUGCAAACCCUAAAAAGG